UCAGGGCGGGGCUGAGCGGGGCGGAGCGGGGCGGAGGGUCCAGCCCGGCCCGGCCCGGCCCGGUGUGGGCACGGGCACGGCCGCCCGGCUGCGGGUGGAAACUUGGGAGAAGUUGCGGCCCCCGCCGCCCCGCUACCUGCUGAUGAAGCCGUCCCCGUCGCCGUCGCAGGUGUGAAGAGGACCCGUGCGCCAUCAGCACACGCAGCAGCAACGCUGUCGUUCAUCCCUGUUGGAAGUACAAUUGUGGAACAGCCAAUUCUUGUUUCUGAGUGCACACCUUUUUUCUGCACUAUCAUAUGUUACUCUUCGUACUUCAUUCUUUGAAGACAGACAUUUCUUCCCACAUAACAUUGACGAUGUCUGGUGAAUAUGUAAAGCCAGCAAAGUUAUCAAACUGUUCAUAUUAUACAGCUGCUUUCAAGUAUAAUAGCUGAUGGCAGUUGUUCCAUUGUUAAUAUUUAUUGUAUUUUAACUAAGCCAUUACAAGUCAAAGAGUCUCCGUGGUGUUUUAUUAGCCAGAACUACUUGCAGGUACAAACAUGCAUGCACUCACUGUCAUAUUCUCAUUCUCUUCAGUUUUUCCAAUUUUUCUUGCCCACAUGGGGCUUCCUGGAUGACCAGAGCACCAGGCCAACACAUUUCCAUACCCCUUCUAGAGAAUGGAAGAAGGGAAUAUUGCAAGUAUCCUCGUUCCUUCAUACUGUAGGGUGCAGUCUUUGAAGAUUUACAUUUUGUUCCAUCUUCUGACCUGCAACGGUCUCACUCUUGGUCCCAGCAGGUGCUCUUUCUCAGUCGUAUGUAGGGUGUUAUGUGUGAGACUGGUUGCGUAUUGCAGCUGUGUGAUUUACAUUGAGGAUUGCAUCUGCUGGGCAGU